GGCGCAGGGGCGCGCACGGUGUGGGUGCGAUGGGGAGGAGGAGGAAUAGGCCGGGCUCGUCGCAUUCGCUGCCUCCUCGCCUGAAGAGAUGCGAAGGGGAGUGGGAGGCUUGGCUAGCGGCUCCUCGCGCCGGCCUCCGCUCUGCUCAAGCCCCGCUGUGAUAAGGGUCCCCCACCCCCAGCAGGCUCGGGAGGGGUUACGGGCACGGUAACUAGAGCGCAGGGCGGGCGGGGGAAGGGAGGAGACAGGAAGAUUGGUGGUGGCCGAGAGGUGAGGGCCGCGCUGGAGGGCCGCGCGGAGUCGGCGACGCUGCUGCAGCCGCGGCUGCCUCCCCCGCCUCCCUCCUUCCCGGCGGGCCUCGGGCCUGGCCAGGCGGGCCUGCGGCCAGCUUCCUCCCGGCGCGGUGCGGGCACCCCGGCUUCUGUUUGACCCCAGGUUGAUGUGGGCACAGUAUGGAUCACACUUGUGAACUAUCUAAAAGAAAUUGUCUGCUGUCCUUUCCCAAUCCAGUGGAUUUAGAUGCCCCUGAAGACAAGGACAGCCCAUUCGGUAAUGGUCAAUCCAAUUUCUCUGAGCCACUUACUGGAUUGCAGUUACUGACUGCAGUGGAACAUCCCAAAAUGCUUAUGGACAAGAUUCUCCAUCUUGUUACAUUCCACUGCUGAGACUACAGGAUCUGGCCUUCAGGAUCAAUGUAGAGUAUUUAAGUGGGUCUGUUGAUGGAUCAGAGUCCUUUCAAGACCCUGCAAAAAGUGUCUCAAGAGCUCAGUCGCCAAAUGUUUGCACUUGUUUGAAUCCUAAUGGUCCAGCAGCACUUGCUCUGAAACAGGAGCCCUCUUGUAAUAACUGCCCCAAACUCCAGUUAAGAGUAACAGAGACAACCAAGAAUGGCUUUCUGCACUUUGAGAAUUUUGCUUGUGUGGACGAUGCAGAUGUAGAUUCUGAAAUGGCCUCAGAACAGCCAGUCACAGAGGAUGAGCUCUUUGAGGAAACUCAGACCAGUGCCGCCUGCAAUUAUGAGCCUAAAUCAGAAGUAUAGAAGUGGCCAUGGGAAGUGAGCAAGACCAGAGAGUAGACACGGUGAAGUCAAACAGCCAUUCUUGCCAUUAGCUCCUUCACCAAAAAUCAGGAAAAUAAAAGAAGUGAAGUGGAUGUACACAAUGAAAGACAGUCCUCCUCCCAGCCUACAUUUCACUAGGAGACACAAACAUUACCAUAGAAGAACAAUUUAACUCAAUACAUUUACCUUUUCAGGAUGAUCCAGACUCCAGCACUAGUACAUUAGGAAACAUGCUAGAAUUGCCUGGAGCUUCCUCAUCAUCUGCUUCACAGGAAUUGCCAUUUUGUCAACCAAAGAAAACGUCUACACCACUGAAAUAUGAAGUUGGAGAUCUCAUUUGGGCAAAAUUCAAGAGACGCCCAUGGUGGCCCUGCAGGAUUUGUUCUGAUCCAUUGAUGAAUGCGCACUCAAAAAUGAAAGAUGAGGUUUCACAUAUCCUAGGCUGGCCUUGAACUGAUCUUCCUCCAUCUCCCACAUGCUGGGAUUACAGGUAUGUGCCACCCAGUUUAUGUGGUGCUAUGUGUAGCCUGGGACUUUGUGCAUUGUAGGCAGGCACUUUACCAACUGAGCUCCAUCUAUAGUUUUGAGAUUUUUCAUUUUUGUUUUUUUGUUUCUAAAGACAGGGUUUCUCUGUGUAGCCUUGGCUGUCCUGGACUUGCUUUGUAGACCAGGCUGGCCUCAAACUCAGAGAUCCAUCUGCCUCAGCCUUCUUGGGCACUAGGACUAAAGGUAUGUGUCAUCAUUCCCAGCUUAAUGAUUUUUAUUUUAUAUGAAUUGAUGUUCUACAUGCAUGUAUGUCUGUGAGAAUGUUGGAUCUCCUGGAACUGGAGCUUGAGACAGUUGUGAACUGCCAUGUGAGCUCUGGGAAUUGAAGCCUGGGCCUUCUGGAAGAGCAGCCAGUGAGUACUCUUAGCUCCUGAGCCACCUCUCCAGCACCGUAGUGUUUGCUUUUUAAAUUUUUUUGAAAGAUCUUAUUUUCAUUUAUUUUUUUCAUUUUAUGUAUGUGAGCGUUUUUCUUGCAUGCAUGUAUACACACGAAAAGUGGUCCUGAUACCUACAGAGAUCAGAAAAGGUGUCAGAUUACCCGGGACCAGGGUGUAGAUGGCUCUAGGUAGGUGCUAGGAGCCAAAAACCAACCCCUGGUUCUCUUCAAGAUCAACAAGUGCUCUCAAGAUCUGAGCCAUUUCUUCAGUCUUCAAAUUUUUAUUAUUAUUUAUGUAUGUGAGUGUUUUGCCUGCGUGUAUGUCUUUGCAGCAUGUGGGCACAGUGCCCGUGGUUAGGAUCCUGUGAAACUGGAGUUACACACGGCUGUUGGUCACUGGACAUGUAAUUGAACCUGGGUCCUCUAGUAUGACAGUAUUCUGUAGCCAAGGCCGACCUCAAAAUUAUGGAGUUUAGGAUGACCACGAACUCUGGAUCCACCCGACUCCUGGAUUGUAG